ensembl:ribozyme RNaseP_nuc Nuclear RNase P
GGCGGAGGGAAGCUCAUCGGUGGGGCCACGUGCUGAGUGCGAUUAGUCACUCUACUCUGUGUCCCUUGGGAAGGUCUGAGACUAGGGCCAGAAGCGGCCCUAACAGGGCUCUCCCUGAGCUUCGGGGAGGUGAGUUCCCAGAGAACGGGGCUCCGCGCGAGGGCAGACUGGGCAGGAGAUGCUGUGGACCCCACCCUUCGGAGGGGCCUGGCGGAUGCCUCCUUAGCCGGAGCUUGGAACAGACUCACGGCCAGCGAAGUGAGUUCAAUGGCUGAGGUGAGGUACCCUGUACAGGGGCCUCAUAACCCAAUUCAGACUACUCUCCCCCGUC